rnacentral:tRNA from 1 species
CCUCGACAUGGUCGACUAGCGCGUCCGGCAGCUUCAGCCGGCCGGCGAGAAGGUCGAGAUAGCCGCGCUCGGCGCGCGUGUCGGGAUC